UCACCCGGCUUUGGUAUCUGAGGAACAGGAUGAAGCAGGCUCCCGUCAGUGCCAGCAGCAACAUGAAGAUGCCAAAAAGGAUCAGGAUGACUUGCUGCAGGCUGGUGGAGGCUAAAGAUGGUAACAGAAAAAAACUCUAGGGGGCUGGAGAGAUGGCUCAGCGGUUAAGAGCACUGACUCUUCCGGAGGUCCUGAGUUCAAUUCCCAGCAACCACAUGGUGGCUCACAACCAUCUGUAAUGACAUCUGAUGCCCUCUUCAGGUGUGUCUGAAAACAGCUACAGUGUACUCACAUACAUAAAAUAAAUCUUAAAAAAAAAAGAAACUCUUAAAGAGAGAAAAAAAAAACAUAAACGAAAAAGAAAGAGUCCUUGCCUUUUGGGUUUCUGUCUUUUCCCAGUAGUGGACAAAAUACUGAAAAGAUGCCUCCUGGACCACGUCAAAGGGAGGGGAGAAGUGUAUGACGAGGGAGCCUUUCCCUGGGGUCACCGAGAUGUUUUUUGGAGGUCCAACAGUAACUGAAAUAGAAUCACAAAGACUUCACAUGAGUGACACACAGACGCCCAUGUACACUGUGAAUGCCUAUUAAACCCAAUACACAUCUGCACUGUGUGUACACACACAUUUAACUUACACAGGCAACCAGCUCCACUCAGAUUCCCAUUCUGAAUAUGAGGUUUACCGGGGAGCCAGCAUCCAAGCAGAAGGAAAGGCCCUUGUAGAACCCACGGAGUGUUGGCAGGUGCAGGAUUGGCCCUGCUGAAAGGCCCUCUGAGCCAGAAUCUAUUAGAGCUACAUGGAGUUGUUUCCUGGUCCCCAUCAGGGAGGGGCACGCAGCCCACCUCAAGGGUUUGGCCCUGCACAAGGCAUUGAAGAUGUUCUAGCUGAGGUGCUGUUUCUCAGCUGGGAGUCAUCUGACUGUAAGCAAAGCUUCUAGAAUCACCACAGGCAUCAGAAUCCCAGAGAAACAGAACAGAAACUUAAGGUGGAGGGAAGUUUUCAUUCAGGGUGGAAAGGAAGUGCAAGGUUUGAAAUUUGCAGACAGGUGGGCUUGGAUCUGGAGAGUAUCAUGUGAAGCGAGGGACUGAACUCAGAGAGAAAAGACACUGCAUGUUGCCCUCAUACGAGGAUCCCAGUCUCCCGUGUUCAUGUGUAAACUAUACAUGUUACAUGUAGGUAAACAGGACUAAGUAUAGGCGUAGUGUAACAUUUACCGUAUUGUUGGGUUUUUCUUUCACUGUUGAUCUUUUGAGACAGGAUCUCUCAGUGUGUGGCUCUGUCUAGCUUGGAACUCGCUCUGUAGACCAGGCUGGCUUUGAACUCACAGACAUCUGCCUGACUCUACCUCCCAAGUGCCGUGAUUAAAGGUGUGCGCCACCCUGAACCCCCAGCUCACUUUUAAAUAAGCUGGCACUUUAAUGGUUCUGGAUUAUUGGGAGGGGGUGGGGUUAUUUGUUUAUUAACUUAUUUAUCUUUAUUUUCAAUUUUCUGUCACAUUUUUGCUGUGGUAGUGAUAACAGUAAAAUCUGCCGUGCUACCCAGGAUUACAUGUCUUUAAAAAAAAAAAAAAAAAAAAAACCCUAGCCAAAAAUACUGUACCUGCUUACUAGAGCAUGAACUAUCUAGACAGUGGUCACUUCUGUUGUCUGAUACUUUGAAUUCACGCAUGCGUGUGUAUGUGUGUGUGCAUGCUCGUGUGUAUGUGUGUGUGUGUGUGUGUGUGUGUGUGUGUGUGUGUUUGUGUGUGUGCAUGUGCGUGCGUCUGUUUGGGGGCUCAGCAGUACAGCAUCUGCCUGGGAGGUAACAGGUCCUUGCUUCCUAGCACCACAUCAAGAAAACAAACAAACAAAAACAACAACAACAACAACAACAAAAAAUGGCUGUAACUGUCUUCCCAUAAAACACUGUUUACAAUAAUAGGCGUGGCAUCAAAUUUAGAGUCCCAGAGCCUAUUCCUUUAGCAUCAGCCUGAGGGUCAGUGGUCUCGGACAACCUUACCACUUGUCUCUGGCAUAUUAGGAUGAGGACCAGGACCAAAGCCGUGGGUUCAAUUCUGACCACCAAAGAGGCACACAGAGAAAACCUGGGCCUGUGACACUUGUUUUUAAAGUUGUGUCUUCUUUAUUUAUCUGUGUGUGGGUGUGGGUGCAGGAGGAGGCCAGGAAAGGGAGCUGGAUGGCUGGAGCUGGAGUUUCAGGCAGUUGUGAGCUCCCCAGUUUGGGUGCUGGGAACAAGAGCCAGAGGAGCUCUUACUAGCCGAGUCGCUUCUCCAGCCCCUGUACAGCUUUCUCCCCAAGUUCUUACCAUUCUCAUAGUGUUGAAAUGGAUCCAGCUUCACCCAGUGGGAAGUGUGCUUUCCGAGCCUGGCUCGCACGCGCAGGAAGACUGUGUAUGAGUAUGGGAAAACCUUCAAGCGGCCGCCUCCUGUGAAGUCACAUUUCGUCUCUGCGAUGUCCGUACAGUUCGGCUCCCGCAGCCUAUGCCAAGAGCCAUCGACGCUGGGAAAGCAAGCAAGAUCUCAAUUCACAGAAUCCUCUCUUCAUGCCUAACACGGUUCUCUAGAGACACCGACUUCUCCAAAGGAUUGGCACCCGCUCAUCCUUUCGGCCAAGGUCAAGUCCAGACACUCUUGACCAGAUUAAUUCAUAUGCCACGCCCACUCAGGUGUUCAAUGCUCUCGGGAUGUGCACAAAGAGAGAAGACCAGUAUGGCCAAUUUUUUUUUUUUUUGGUUCUUUUUUUCGGAGCUGGGGACCGAACCCAGGGCCUUGCGCUUCCUAGGUAAGCGCUCUACCACUGAGCUAAAUCCCCAACCCCAUGGCCAAUUUUUAAAAUGUGUUGUCACUUACCCCUCCCCCCCAGCCCCCAUCUGGUACCCAUCGACAGUGAUUCUCUAUUUCUCUUCAACUUGAAGCCCCGGUCAGAGCCAGUGACUGAGGUGCUGUCUGUCUCAGCUCCCUCAUCCUGAACGGAACCAUACCCUAUGAAUGUGAACGACUGGAACCAUACCCUAUGAAUGUGAACGACUGGUCUCUUGUGGCUGCUGUUAUGGUAGGUCCAUUCAAGAUAUACACUAUACCAGCUUCCUCUAAAGCUUUAAGAUUCUGUCUUUUAUUUUUAUGUGCAUUUGUGUGCUGGGACUAAACGUGUGAGCCACCACCACCCAUCUCGGAACAAUUUUUAAGAACGUUUCUCAGAAGACAGACUUAUGGGGGGAUAGGGGUUCUGAGGGAAGGGAUGGAUCCCUUUGCAUAUAGAGGACAAUAAUACAGUGAUUUUGGCUGCAUUUAAAUGAAGGAUGAAAUGAACACAGCUCAGUCAUACAGUCCGUCGAGCUCUGCCCAGUCAGUCGGUCUAAGCUUUACUAAUAGCAGUCAUCCAGGCUUCCAUGCUGUGGCCACAAGCUUUUCCACCUGGCCUCUCUGUCCCGGAAUAAAGACUCAGAGACUUUCGUAUGAAUAAAUGCCUAGGCUGAAAGCUCUGGCUCACUCCCUUCUAGCUCGUGCCUUAUAUAUCCCGUUUAUUCUAUUCUAUGAGUGCCACACAACUGGUUACCUCUCCCACCUCCAGCGCCUCUGAUGAAUUACCAGAGUUCCACCCUUUUCUAUCGGAACUCCCACAUAUUUCUUGCCACCUUUUGCUAAAAGGCAGUCUGCUUUUCCUUGACCGGUGACGCUUCUACACAGUGCACGAGACAAGAGAUUCUCUCUACAGUGUGCACAGGGUCAUGCUGGACUUCUGCUUCAGAAAUUACCUAAGGCUUUGUGGGAGAGCGUGUGGUCGAUGGUGUAUUUUAACUGCUAACCUUUUUUUUUUUUUUUAAAGAUUUACUUCUUUAUUUUAUGUGCUGUCUUCAGACACACCAGAAGAGGGCAUCAGAUCCCAUUACAGAUGGUUGUGAGCCACCAAGUGGUUGCUGGGAAUUGAACUCGGGUCCUCUGGAAGAGCAGUCAGUGAGCCAUCUCUCCAGCCCUAACUGCUAACUUGACACAGCCUAGACGCUCCUGUGGAUUUGGCUUUGCUACCAAGACCUUAAAAAGCUUCAUGUACAAUGCCAGUUCUGCUUGACCACAGACAAACAUAGUUCUUAAGUCUUAGUCUCAAAAUAAGUUAAAAACAAAAAAAACAAAAAACCAAAAACCUCAAACAAGGAAACUGAUUUUAAGCCAAACAAAAACAAAGCCCUCUUGCCCUCACCAGAGCCACGGCAGAAUGGGUGGGGGUGGAGGACCAGCCUGCUCUAGUUUUUACCAAUGCUUCUUUUACUAAAACCAACCUCAACCUCUGAUAAAAAGAUACAAAAUGUUUACCAAAAAGAAAGAAAGGAAGGGGGCUGGGGAAGUGGCUGUUGUUAAACUGCCUGCCUGGUUCAGACCCUCAGCAUCCAAGCGAACCUGUAAAACCCCAGUGUCACGGGCACAGGCAAGCAUGGAGGAGAAACAGGAAGAUCCCGACUCUGCCUAUCUAGCUGAAUUGGAGUUCCGGGUUCACUGAGAGACUGUCUCAAAAAAGGGGGGCAGUGGGACUAAGGAAGGCACUUUGCCAUGCUCUCUGGCUUCCACAUGCCUGUGUGCGUACGUGAAUUUGUGUGUGUGUAUGUGUGUGAGAGAGGUUUGCACACGCUUGUGUACACACCCACCUGCCCCACAAACAAACAAAAAUCCCUAGAGUCAAACAAGUCAGACUAUACUACAAAGCUCUGUGGUGAAAGGAAGCCUUUUAAAGAAAGCACAGAGGACAGUGACACAGGCCUGGGAUCUCAGCUACCCCUUGGAGACUGAGGUGGGAGGCUCGCUAGUUCCAGGGCUAUCUGAGCAGAAUGGGAAUGCUUCUCUCAAAACAAACUGGUAAUUUGUUUACUACCAUGAGCCUAGUGAUUUCACCGUAAUCUUCAACUAACUUACAGGACCCAAAAAACCAAAAACAAAACCGUUUCACUGAGCCCAGUUUCUUAGCGAAUACUUCUUUGUAAAUCGAGUGGUGGCCACAGAUGAGAAACACAGAACGGAGGUGAGAGGCAGAACAAAGAGUGUGAACACUCCAUUAUUCAGAACAGAAAACCAGGUGAGAAACUGAGAACUCAUUGUAGUGCGCCCGAAUACAUCCCUAAGUGGGCUCACUUUGGACGCUGAGGUUUUAAACCCGAAAGUCACCUCUUGCCUUCCCAGGGCGGAAGUGGACCCUUGCUCUGUUCAGAACAAAGGGAUUAACUUUCACCCCUAAAGGAGGUCCCAGCAGCCAGUGUUCUCUGACAGCCAGACUUAAAUCCACCGCUGAUGAGCAGGAGGAGGUGACUGAAAUCUCUGUCUUUGAACCUUUCAAAUGUGCAGGAGGUUUCACCACAGUCGUGCUGAGAGCCCUAGUCAGGAUCUGACUCCAGGCUUCCAUCCAACCUCCCACAAAGGUCCCAGACCCACAGAGCAUCCACUUACUAGCUGUACUCCACCUGGUAGACCACUGGUCUCGUGUCGUUGCUGGAGGGCGAAGGCUCCCAGCUUAGCAUCUGCUCGUCAUUGUACAGGUGAAGCUUCAGCUUCCUAGGGGCAGCAAGCUGGGACAAGGAGUCUUGGGAGGAACAGGGAAGGAGAGGAGGAAUGGGUGGGAGAGAAGAGGGAAAUCCAGAAUUACAAAAACAAACAAACAAAAAACCCUUUCGGUGCCCAUUAUGAAAACCAUUUAUUUAACACAGCUCUGGUUGCAGUUUGGUUCUGGGAUGGGCGUGCCUGUUCUCCCUGUCGCACCCUCUGGGCCUGAUUGUAAGGAGGGCACUGUGGAAGACAUAUUUUAGGUUACCCUCUAGGUGGUGGUAACCACAGCCUUUCUACACUGGGUGACUACACUGGGUUCCUACAUAUACCACGUGAGACACUUGACUGCGGGCUGCCCAGGACUCCAUCUUUCUGCAGUCAAUAGUAGAGCACCCCCAAGGCCCUGGGUUCGGUCCCCAGCUCCGAAAAAAAGAACCAAAAAAAAAAUAGUAGAGCACCCCAAAGAAUGGGCAUCUCCUAGGCCCAGGUGGGGUCCCAAGGUGACGCUGCAUGUAUGUGUUGAUGCAGAUGCCCCAGAUCAGAUAGGCAACUCCCAAAGGCGCUUGACAUGAGGGCAAGAGCACACACCAUCUGCUUCUCGAAAACUCUCAGCAUCUCAUCGCUGAGAUCUAAAUAACUCUCUGAAUCCCAGCUUCGAAGCCACAGUGGAAAUGUGUACACUUUUAAAUUGCCUCCCCGCCCUGAGAGCCACAAGUCACAAAAGACCGUGUUCCCUGGAGGCAGCAGACUUCCCAAAGAGACCAGCUCCAACCAUCCUGUCAGGCGGAUCCUUUAGAGACUGAAAACACUGGAACCUUCUCUCAGAAGGGAAAUCGUUGUUACUCUUUCUUUGAUCGAAAGAUUAAUGAGAAAUAUUCAGAAGGUGGGAAGAAAAACAGGCUCCAGAGUUCAAUGCAGGAAACCCAAACCACAUGUUUUCAGGGAGUCCUUCAAAGCCAGAAGAAGGGUGCGGAGGAGCCUCCAGCCCCCGCAGCAUGGUGUACCGCCACCAGCUGCAGACACCUGUCUAUCCAGACUGCCCAGCGCCUCCACCUCUGUGACCUCUGGCUGCUCAACACUGCUAACCAUUGACACAGGCCUCAGGGGAGCAGGCGGUCCAAGCCAGAUGUCUGAAGCAGCAAGGCAGAGGGCAGGCCCGGUCAGCUCACUGAGGGCCUGGGGGAAGCCAGGCGCCCAUGGACAAAUCUGAAACGGCUUUUCCUGCCUGCAUUGGGUUUCUGUCCCAGCUGUAGCAUUUCCCAACUGAGUCGUAGCAUCUCAUCUACUUCACCUCAUUAUCAUUUAUUGUCACUCCGAGAUCAGGUGUGUGAAACAGGCCUAGGGUGGAGAUGGCGGCAGGGGCCCUGUUCCUUCUGGAGUCACCCAGAGAAAAACCCAGGGCUCCUCCUGUUUUGUGCUCCGGAAGCUACGCAUUCUUUGGCUUGUGGCCCCUUUCUCUGCCUUGCGUUGCCCUCUCUCUGGUUCAAUUUCAUGGCUCCUUACUCUAUCUCUCAAGGACCCCAGCAAUGACUGUGAGUCUGUGUAGCUCAGAAUCCAGGAUCAUCCCCAGUCAGGGUCUUCACCUCAGUCAGACCUGCAAAGCCCCUUUUGUCAGGUCAUGUAUCCCAAAGGUCCGGAGAUCAGUGCCUGAACAUCUUCUAAAGGACAAUAUUCUGCCUAACACCCCUCCCCUCACCAUCGCUCGUGCCUCUGGAGGAACUGGAAGGAAUACCUUCUUCCUCUGCCGGGUCCCUAUUCUCACAAUCGAGAGGAACACUAGGGACCAAGUUAGAAAGAAACUUACUCUAACCACGAGUGGAAGAGCUAUUCAGUUCUCAGAUACAAAAGGAACUCAGGACAAAUGACUAAUCCUGGUGCCUAGUAACAUUAACAUACCAAGUGUCUGCUGCCUCCAGGCCCACUCAGGACCUGCGGCUCCCCUCAGCUCUUCUCACCUGAGUAUCCUAAACUCCAGCUCACCGGCUUCUCCCCCUGCUUCUCAUUCCUAGGUGAUCCUGACAUUUGGGCCAUGUGCUUUCUCUGGCCUCUUUUGCCUUCCUUACUCUCGUCUCCAGGGCCUGGUCUGCUGGUCAUGUUGAGCUACAAUUUCCCUGCUCCGGAUGCCUCCACAUGCUGUAUUCUCCCUCAGAUCUCCUUCCCCUCAACCUUCCUUGGAGCCAUCCCUGUCUUUGCUUUAUAUACACGUCAGGCCUGGGGCUGGAGCUCAGUGGGACACACUUCAAAGCCCUGGGUUGGAUGCCCAACACACAACAAAAAGCUAACCUGGCAAGACAGAGUUUUCGGACUGGCUCUAAGGGAAGCCUCACACAGCACGGCUUUGUCUCUGCCUCCUCCACCGGGAGUUUCUUGGGAACCUUAUCUAAUCUUACUCCCUGAAGAAAAUGAGUCUCAGAACUGUGGACUCCACAGGGAAGUGCUAGACGGUCCGGCAUACCAUAAAGCACUCUCCCAGGCAGCCCUCUCCACAUUCUGGAUUGCCUGUCCUGGAACCUCACCCUCUUCACUCUAACCCCUCGCUGCCCCCUGGGAAACAGCACACACUGUACUUGGGACCUUGCUCUGCUGCUCCCUCUCCAGGGAGCCUCCCUGCCUGGGUCUGUUGAGACCCAGCCCUGGGGUAAACCUGGUAUAAACCUGCUUGCACCUCCACCCUCUUCCUCUGAUUUUACUCCUGAGUGUGAUUCACACUGGAGUCCUUCAGAGGGCGGACUUUACACAUAGAUACUCUGGGCUCCUCGUUAGUGUCUUGUGUUUGCCUCCAGAUAAGGCAUUUGGGUCUCGAGAGAGGGAUUAGUCACAGUGCGUUCUCAAUACAGUCUUUCUGCGGAAGGAAGGAGUGAGUUCGGGUGCUGGGUAGGUGUGUCCCACCACUCUGGGCUCUGCUCAUAUUUCAGUCACUCCUCAGUGCCACACAGAUACGUUGAAGAACUGGGUGGGUGGGGAACGCCUGUUGAAAAUGAGAAAAGUGGGGCUGAAGAGAUGGCUCAGCGGUUAAGAGCACUGACUGCUCUUGCAGAGGUCCUGAGUUCAAUUCCCAGCAACCACAUGGUGGCUCACAAACACCUGUAAUGGGAUCUGAUGCCCUCUUCUGGUGUGUCUGAAGACAGCGACAGUGUACUUAUAUACAUAAAAUAAAUCUUUAAGAAGAGAAAAGCUGAGAUGCUGUGGGAUUCAGGAGUGCUUUCUCUCUGGAAGAUGUGGAGAAUGAGCACUGCACUGACAGACAGCUGUCAACCAUGGAAAAAACAGCAGAACCCAUGCAAGGCCCAGGCGCCCUCCUCCUCGCUUUCUUUGUGUUUGGCCCGUGGUUUUAUCUCAUGUCACAGACCAUGGCAGGUGUGCUGACCUUCUCUGGAUGGUUCUAAAGACUUCUGUACCUUUUGAGUCGCUGGGACCAGACUACCUGGCAGAAUUUGGCUAACGAUUGCAGUAGAUCUCUGUCCAUCCUCGCAGGGAAGGCAUGCGUGUAGAAAAGCUGCCUUUGGUAAGUGGAGUGUGUGGCCACACACCUAUCCUGUCCUUAGGAAUCUAUCAAGUCUCAAGUGUCUGGAUCCCAGGACAUCCUGGGGUGAGGCAGGAGGGCAGUGUAUGGGGCUGAGGUGCAGGGAGCACGUUCAUGCAGACUACACCCAGUUAGCUCUUAUCAUUAGUGGUUUGUGACUCAGAGGCCACAGGCACACGCAUGGAGAAUGACAAAGCUUUGCUCAGUCCCCUAGCAUCUGGGAGCUUUUGCCUCAUAGGAGGUGCAGUGUCUUUAAAGCGCUGGUGUCCACACAUGGGGGCCACGUUAGUUUGCUAUUGUUUCUGCAGCCAUUGAUCCAAAACUUAGUGGCUGAAAACAAACUUUAUCUUACAGUGCUCCAGGCCAGAGAGCAGCAUGUGUUUCAGGGACAAAGGUCAUGAUCCUAGGAGCAGCAGGUGGAAGAACCUACCUUGGCUAGAUUCUACUGAAACGGUCUCCCUUGUGAUUACACUGGAUGUAACCCAGAUACGCCAAAAUAGACUGCCAGUUUUAAGAUCAUCUGACUGGGAACAGUCACUUCUCAUGGAACCUAACAGUCACAGGACACAGGCAUCUUGAGGAAGAAGGUGUGCUGAUCUGUGACAGGUCUGAGCCACUGAAUAUUGUGCCAGCCUGCAGCUCCUGCAAACUCUCUGGAACCAGCUCUCAUUACUUGAGAGGCAGCCAUAGGGAACUGGGAACUAAGAAGCCAUCUUUACUUUGUGUGUUUGUGUGUGUGUGUGUGCGUGUGUGUGUGUGUGUGUGUGUGUGUGUGUGUGUGUGUGUUCUCUCUUGCUACCAUGUAGAUCCUAGAUUUCAGAGUUAAGUCAAGAAUGUUGGUAGUAAGCAUCUCUCUUUCCAACCAUCCCCCAAAAGCUAUCUUAAACCCCUAAUUAAUCACAUCUUUAAAAACAGAAACACAAGAUAGACUAUGCUAUCUGGCUUUGCCUUUCACUUUUUAAAAAGAUUUAUUCAUUAUUUUUAUUUAUGUGUGUGUGGGUCUGCCUGCAUGGGGCUAUGUGGCUACCAUGUGCUCGAUGGUGCCAUGGAGGGCAGGUGGCGUCUGACCCCCUGAUUGGUGGCUCUGAACCGCCUAACGUUGAUGCUUGGAACCAAACCCCAGACCUCUGCAGGAGCAGCGAGGGCUCUCCUCCACUCUCCCCAUCCUGUUCCCAGGAAGCUUCUGUCGGCAGCACUGACAGCAAAUGCUGCUGCCCUAAGUGGGUCUAGUUAGGGGAUGGAGAUGUCCUCCACAGGCUCACUGGGUCUCCAGUCUGUGGAGCUAUUUUGAGGGCAGUGGAACCUGUGAGUGCAGGGCCUUCGUGGAAGGAACAGAUCAGCAGAGACGGGUCUUUGAAGGUUAUACCCAUUCCCUGGUUCUAGCCUCUCCCUGCCUCUUGGUCAGCUUCACAUGAACCAUGCCUGACGCCAAUGACCUCACCUCCAGCAACUUAAAUGUGACAGGGAAAUAAACAGUCCUCACCCCUCAGUCCUAGCCAUGAAGUUACUCUUUUUAGUAAAUUCCCCAAUAGAAAGUGGUUUGGUUUGGUUUUAACCUGGAUCAUUUGUCUCCUCCUGGGAAUAAAAUAAGAUUAAGAGGGAAAAAAUAUACAUACAGCCCUCAGCAACUUGUCUCAAUAAACAGAAGCUAGGAUUAUCAUAUAUCCAACGACAAGACAGUUUCACCUGAAGAAACAACACCCAAACAUUAAAUUUCCUAACACUCAUUGGUUUGGACAUUCCUUCAAGUAUAUGCACGCACACACACACACACACACACACACAAGAAUACAGACAGCAACAGAGAGACAGAGACAGACACACACAGAGAGACACACAGACAUACACACAGAGACGGAGAGAGACACACAGACGCACAGAGACACAUACACACACAUAAACACAAAGACACACACAGACAGACACACAGACAGACACGUACGUAUGCAUACUCCAACUCCACAGUACAAGGAGCAGUCACAACUACAAGCAGAAGUCUUGACUUGACCCUUCCAUGCAGGUCUGAAUAACUAAAGAGUCUCAUUCAUACUGUCAAUUAUGUUGUUUUUGUCUUGUUUUUCUGAUCUAUAGCAUAUGGCUGCCACCCAACAAAGGGAGAAGCACAACUACAGAUCGCUAGGGUACAGUAUGGUUAUGCUAUCCUUGACUCCCUGGAAGGGUACAAAAUUAUAAACGUUCCUUUCAAAGCCUUGUUUCCAGGGGCUGGAGAGAUGGUCUACAGAGUCCUAGCAUUCGCAAAGCAGCUCGCAACUAUUUAUAGCUCCAGUUCUGGGAGAUCCAAUGGCCUCUUUAGGCCUCCGUAGGCACCAGGAACUCAAGUGGUACAGACAUACAUGCAGGCAAACAUCCUUACGUUGUUAAAAAGCAAUCUUAUGAUUCCUGAGGUCCAUUCAUAACCUAUGGAGGGAAAUCUUCUCAUUACCUGUUGGCCUAAGGGGACUGUUGAUAUUUUCACUUUGCAUUGUGACUAAAAAGCGGUUCUUUAAACAUACCCUAGUAAGGUUUUUCUUAUCAUAAAAGUGUGAAAACUUUGCUUUAUUAUUUGUUAAAAGAGGGGUAUGAGAGCCUAAGAGAUUUACAAAAGGCCACUGUUGUAAAAAUAUCUAAGGCUCCAAUUUGUUGUUAAUGAGCCACAGGCCACAACUUUGGAAUACAAUAAAAGUUAAUCAUUAGGAAAACGUCAGUUGUAAAGUUUCUAAAUACGUCUAUUGACUUCUGAACUCACAGCUCACAGAUAUCUCAGACAACUGCAGGCUCUCCUACACUUAACUGUGUGGGUGGGUGUGUCAGACACGGAUUGCUUAAGGCAAAAUGGGGAACAUCAGAGUGAAGCCUUUGCCUGACUGCUGGAGAAUAAGUUAACUAUGUAAGCGAUACAUCCUUCUGUGCACCUCUGCCCAUAAGGAGACAGGAAACUUAAGGGUCUUUGCUGGGAUGUUGACACAGGAUCAACCCCUCAACACCAUUUCCAAUGGGAGGGAACUUCCCAAUUCCUGAGCAUAUUUAACUAAUGGCCAAACUUAAAACAAAACAAAAAACAACAACACAGGCCAAGACCGUCUUCGAGUAGCCCAAGCUGGCCCAGUCGGAAACUUCAGGACCCUUCCUCCUCAUUCUGAGUUCUGUGUUUUCACAACUCCCGCACUCACUGUAGACUCCAGAUACCUAAGCUUUGAUAUGAUCUCUGCAUGGGAAAGAAUCCAGCAAAACAUAAUCAUGGAGGAACAAUGUUUUUGGUCAGUGAUGUCUUUCUUUUGUUGGUUUUGAUGACUGGCUCAUAAACACAGUCAGAUGGGGACAAGAGGGGGGAAACUGAAUCCAGGUAAAGGGCUUGUGUGAGUGGAGUAGGGUAGAGCUGGGAUUAAAAGUGUGGCUCAGCUGACCCCCUGUCUUCAUACACUGAGGGGACACGGGCAUUUCUGUUCCCCAUCUAUAAGAUCGUGAGGGACUGAGUACCAGGAUUUUAUACGCCGCCCAGACAGACCAAUAUUGGUCCUGCCCUUCAGCAGAUCUCCCUGGCACCAAGCGGCCAACAACGACCUGGGCUCUCCAGCUCCAGGCCUGGAAUUCCCCGUGGUCCACGCCACACUCACUGGAGCUCCUUCUUGGAGAUUCCUCCCGGUCCGUCCCCUGCCCGAUCGCGAUCAACCCGCAGAUCGGGAACCGCCGAAGACCCCCACCCUGCGCCGGGUGUAGGCUCCCAGCGGCACCCACGCACCGAUGCGACACCCGCCGAAGCCCGGGGAAUGGGGGGAGGGGCCUUCUGGGUCGCACCUACCUGGAGAAGACACCGCGGCGCCGAGCCCACAGAGCAACAGCAACGGCAGCCACAGUGGCGGAGGCCGCAUGGCCCGGGCGGCCCGGGACCGCGGGGUGGACGCCGCUCAGACUGAAACCGCAGCGGCCAUGGCGAGCCGAGCGCCCGCCUCUUCCCAGCCUGGCCGCAGAGCCGCCCGGCGCCCGCCCCUACCGAGCCAGGCCACGCCCCCGCCGGGCCCAGCCACGCCCCCGUUCGACCCACGGGACUUUCCCGGGCGUUCCCAGGAACCGCGGCCCCCGCAGCCCAGCACCCUGCGGCGGUGACCCCGGCCGCACCCCGCCGAGCCGACCUCCAAGGCGUGGCCAGGGACUUUUAGGACCACCGUAGAGAGACCAGCGGACACCCAUCCCCACCUCCGACUCCCGUCACGCACGGUUUAAGAACCUGUGCAUUUAUUUUGAAUUCUGUUCUCUUCAAUAGCCCGAAAGAUCGAGCUAAGCUUUGAACCGUUUUAAGCAGAGGGUAACUUAAGGGAGGACCCUCUAGGCAGUGGUGUCACAGAGAACGAGGAAGAAAAGCUGGAGGAACUUCACUGGUUGCUUAAUCAUCUGUGGGUUUGGCCCUCUGUGACUGUGAAGCUACGAGGAAGUGACCCCAGAGCCGGACACGGGCAGGCUCCCAGCCUGAGCCUUCCCCAGUGGCAAGCCUGUUGGCAGAGACGUUUACACCUCCGCCACAAAAAAGGGGCAACGAGAGGAAUGGUUAGAGGGAGACCCAGAGUCAAAGAAAGGGGUCAUCGGAACCCGCAGCUGUUACUCCUAACCGCUGAGGUCUCCGUCUCAGGACGCUGGAGUUGACUUUAAACUGUAAUUGAAGCUGGCCUUGAGCUUAAGAUCUUUAUGCCUGUACCUCCCAGGAGUCAGUUGUGGGCCCUGACACCCUCCCUUGUGCCUAUGUGGCUCCUGAAGUUGGCCUGUUAUAAAAGUCUGUGAUGAAAUAUCUA